rnacentral:rRNA from 1 species
CCUACGGGCGGCAGCAGUGGGGAAUAUUGCACAAUGGGGGAAACCCUGAUGCAGCAACGCCGCGUGAGCGAUGAAGGUCUUCGGGUCGUAAAGCUCUGUUCUUAAGGAAGAUAAUGACGGUAUCUAACGAAUAAGCCCCGGCUAACUACGUGCCAGCAGCCGCGGUAAUACGUAGGGGGCUAGCGUUAUCCGGAAUCACUGGGCGUAAAGGGCGCGUAGGUGGGUUCGUAAGUCAGAGGUGAAAGGCUAGGGCUAAACCGUAGUACGCCUUUGAAACUGGUUAACUUGAGUACAGGAGAGGAGGGUGGAAUUCCUGGUGUAGCGGUAAAAUCCGUAGAUAUCAAGAGGAACACCAGUUGCGAAGGCGACUCUCUAGACUGUAACUGACACUGAGGCGCGAAAGCGUGGGGAGCAAACAGGAUUAGAUACCCUAGUAGUC